rnacentral:rRNA from 1 species
AUUCUAGAAAAGACAAUUUUAGUCCCCCAAUUUAAAUUUAAUUUUAAUGAAAAGUUUAAAGUGCCAUUUUUAGACGAUAAGACCCUAUGAAGCUUCAUUACGCAUAAUUUUUUUGGGGAAAAAUCUAAUUUUUUUAUUGGAGAAUUAGAAGUGAUAUUGAUCUUACAGAACUGGAAGAAAAAGCUACUCUAGGGAUAACAGCAUAAUUUUUACUAAAGCCCUCAUUGAAGUAAAAGAUUGUGACCUCGAUGUUGAAUUAAGAAAAUUAUUUUGUGUAGCAGCUAAAUAAUCGUAGUCUGUUCGACUAGGACAUCUUACAUGAUCUGAGUUCAAACCGGA